rnacentral:rRNA from 1 species
CAGUAGCCACGGUAAUACGUAGGUGGCAAGCGUUGUCCGGAAUUAUUGGGCGUAAAGAGCUCGCAGGCGGUUUCUUAAGUCUGAUGUGAAAGCCCCCGGCUCAACCGGGGAGGGUCAUUGGAAACUGGGAAACUUGAGUGCAGAAGAGGAGAGUGGAAUUCCACGUGUAGCGGUGAAAUGCGUAGAGAUGUGGAGGAACACCGGUGGCGGAGGCGACUCUCUGGUCUGUAACUGACGCUGAGGAGCGAAAGCGUGGGGAGCGAACAGGAUUAGAUACCCGCGUAGUCCCUGUCUCUUAUAA